UUCUUAUUGUUGCCUGCUGAUUCUUUAAGCGAGUUGCUUCUGUCCUAAACUCUUCAAGCUCAAUUUUCAUCUUCCGAUUCUCAGAUUCCAGCUCAGACAAUGCCAGAUCUUGCUCAGCUAUUGAUGCAAGAGCUGGAUAAGGAUCUGGAGCCUCAUAUAGCUUCUGAUAUAUAUUCAGAAAAGCAUUUUCUCCAAAUUUUGCUCUCUUGGUAAGAUUAUCAACUUCUUCUUGGUAGCCCUUAAGUAAAGAAUUAAACAAACCUAACUUUUCCUCUGGUGAAGCCUUUUUGAAAUCUCUAGUGCUCUCUGCAAGCUUUCGUCGGUUUUUCAGACUGUUCUCUUGAUUUUCAGCUAUCCUAAGUCCUUGUUCAUCCAACACAGUUUUCUCCUUCUCCAAUUCAAAUUCUUUCCAGAAAUUGGAUACGACGGGAAUGGGAG
rnacentral:misc_RNA from 1 species